rnacentral:rRNA from 1 species
CAGUCGCCGCGGUAAUACGAAGGGUGCAAGCGUUACUCGGAAUUACUGGGCGUAAAGCGUGCGUAGGUGGUGGUUUAAGUCCGUUGUGAAAGCCCUGGGCUCAACCUGGGAAUUGCAGUGGAUACUGGAUCACUAGAGUGUGGUAGAGGAUAGUGGAAUUUCCGGUGUAGCAGUGAAAUGCGUAGAGAUCGGAAGGAACAUCUGUGGCGAAGGCGACUAUCUGGGCCAACACUGACACUGAGGCACGAAAGCGUGGGGAGCAAACAGGAUUAGAUACCCCAGUAGUCCCUGUCUCUUAUAC